ensembl:lncRNA
GGGGAGUGAUGCUCAGCGUGAGGUAAUACAGUAGGGGGAGUGCUGAGGUAAUACAGUAGGGGAGUGCUGCUCAGCGUGAGGUAAUACAGUAGGGGGAGUGCUGCUCAGCGUGAGGUAAUACAGUAGGGGGAGUGCUGCUCAGCGUGAGGUAAAACAGUAGGGGAGUGCUGAGGUAAUACAGUAGGGGGAGUGCUGAGGUAAUACAGUAGGGGUAGGUGCAGUAUGAGGUAAUACAGUAGGGGGAGUGCUGCUCAGUGUGAGGUAAUACAGUAGGGGGAGUGCUGCUCAGCGUGAGGUAAUAAAGUAGAGGGAGUGCUGCUCAGCGUGAGGUAAUACAAUAGGGGGAGUGCUGCUCAGUGUGAGGUAAUACAGUAGGGGAAGUGCUGCUCAGUGUGAGGUAAUACAGUAGGGGAAGUGCUGCUCAGUGUGAGGUAAUACAGUAGAGGG